rnacentral:rRNA from 1 species
UACGUAGGGUGCGAGCGUUAAUCGGAAUUACUGGGCGUAAAGUGUGCGCAGGCGGCCGAGCAAGUCGAGUGUGAAAGCCCCGAGCUUAACUUGGGAAUUGCGCUCGAAACUACCUGGCUGGAGUGAUGCAGAGGUCGAUGGAAUUGCCGGUGUAGUGGUGAAAUGCGUAGAGAUCGGCAGGAACACCCAGGGGGAAACCAGUCGACUGGGCAUCUACUGACGCUGAGGUGCGAGAGCGUGGGGAGCGAACCGGG